CAUGCAAACCACAAUAAUAAACAGAGGAAGUGAAACAGUUAGACGUUUCCAUUUGAUGGUCGGGUCUGAACUUCUGAUUAGCCACGACAUCCAUCCACGUGGUUAUUAUUAGGAACUGAAAAGAUCGACUUCGGUCAGGGCAAACCGUACUCACACCGUCUCAACACCUCUCGCAACCUAAUAUCUCCCCUGAAAUAAAAGUACAUGAGUGUAGAGAUAUUCUCAAAUAAGGAUUCUCUAUUCGAGAAAUUAGGAAACCCGCGCAGCGAACUGCCAACCCACUCUGGAAAACUCUUUUCCAUUUCUCUGAUUCACUUGCAAGCGUUGAAUUGAAGCCACAAACAAAUAAUAAUUAAAAGACCAGGGUGACGCAGCAAUCCUUCUCCUUGGCCUUGGGUGGAGUGGCGGAGGACUGCCUAUUCAUGCUUUCCUAAAUCCUAAUUAUAAGACAAAGACCAGGGUUUGAGCUGUGCCACAUCGCCAAGGUUAUACAAGAAUUCAUUGCCGGAACAAAUUUCAAUUACUUCACACGGAAAUAUUACUUUCGGCCGUCUCCUCCACAACCUCAGCUUGCGUAGUAAAUUAACUCCUCUCGACCUCCCACAGCUGGUUUUCCAAUUUUGGCUGGUUGAAUCCUAGCUGCACUCAAGCAAGGGCUUCAAGAUUCCAGAUUGCAUUUGAAUUCCUUCAAGGAUAACAAGAAGGCCAUAGCUUUUAACUGAUUUCCAGACAAGAAAGCCGGAAUUCUGAUAAUCAUUUAUGUUAAGUACUUAUGGCAUCAAUGGAUUUAUCAGAAAUUAUGUGCAACUUUGCCAAAUUUGUGUUUAUGGUCGCUUCAACUUUGGUAAGGGUGUACAUUUUCUUCAUCAGUUCAAACAUAGGAAAUGUGUUAGAACGAUCAAGAAAAAGAUCAGGAAAUCUAUCAAACCUUGUGCCAAGUUGGUAGAAAGUGUCUCCAAAGUAUACAUGAGGGAUACUAUUGGAAGCAUAUUGAAUAUAUUGAGGUAUUCAACAUGGGAUUCUGCUCAAGAACAGUUGGGAAAGCUUCCGGUGAAAUGGGAUUCUUACACAAUCAACCAGGUUCUAAAGACUCAUCCACCAAUGGAGAAAUCUUGGCUAUUUUUCAAUUGGACUUCCCAUUUAAAAGGGUUUAAGCAUGACCAGUUCACUUACACCACAAUGCUGGAUAUCUUUGGAGAAGCUGGGAGAAUUGCAUCAAUGAUGUAUGUAUUUCAGAAGAUGCAGGAGAAGGGUAUAAAGAUUGACACAGUGACAUAUACGUCACUAUUGCAUUGGCUUUCUAAAAGUGGGGAUAUUGAGGGGUCACUGAAGAUGUGGGAAGAAAUGAAAUUUAAGGGUUGUCAUCCAACAGUUGUUUCGUAUACUGCAUUUAUGAAGAUUCUUUUUGAUAGUAAUAGACCUAAGGAGGCUACUGAGGUUUACAAGGAAAUGCUUGAAUCAGGAUGCUCUCCGAAUUGUUACACAUAUACAGUCUUAAUGGAGUAUCUUGCUGGAAUUGGUAAAUUCAAAGCCGUUCUAGAAAUUUUGAGCAAAAUGCAAGAAACUGGAGUGCAACCUGAUAAAGCUACUUGUAACAUUUUAAUACAUAAAUGUUGUAACGCAGGGGAGACAUCAGUCAUGAAAGAAAUCCUUCUUUACAUGAGAGAGAAUUCACUUGUCCUUCGUCACCCAGUCUAUAUGGAAGCACUUAAGAUCUUGAAGAACAUUGGUGAGACUGCUGAUCUCCUCAAGGAAGUCAAUCCCCACGUCUCCUUUGAAGACAUCAACAAGGAAAAACCCAAGUCCAAAGCAGCCAUAUCUGAUGUACAUUCCAUCAUUGACAGAGGCAUCAUAUUAAAUCUUCUAGAAAGACGGAAUUUUGUUGCUAUUGAAUACUUGAUUAAUGAGAUGAUCAAUAAGAAUAUUCCAUUGGAUUCAGAGCUUGCUUCUACUAUCAUUCAAGUAAACUGUGAAAACCACAGACUAAGUGGUGCUUUGCUAGCCUUCAAAUACAGUGUAAAAAUGAGUGUGCACAUUGAUAGAGUUUCUUACCUCUCUCUCAUAGGUUUAUUCAUCAGAGUUGGUUCAUUUCCUGUUGUCAUGGAGGUUAUUGAACAAAUGAUAAAGGCAGGAGUUCCUUUUGGAACAUAUUUGGUUUCACUUUUGAUUUACAGGUUUGGGUCUGCCCAAAUGGCUGACUCUGCUGCAAAGAUAUUCUAUUCUUUGCCUGAUGAUCAAAACUUGGCCACUUAUACUGCCUUAAUGGGUGCCUACUUCAGUUCAGGGGAUGUUGAUAAAGGACUUGAAAUCUACAGGAUCAUGAAAAGGAGAGGAAUCCAUGCAUCAUCAGGCACAUAUGAAGUAUUAUUAGUUGGUCUUAAGGAAGCUGGUAGGGUUUAUGAUGCAGAAACUUGCAAGAAAGAAAUGAAGAGCCUACAACUUGGUCAACAGUUUCGGGGGGUUGUUUCUUUAGAAGAAACACUUUGUGACCUUCUCUUUGCUGGAACUGUGGUCCCAUGACUAGCAGUCAUAGGACCUUGAGCACCCUUCCUGUUAUUGACUUCGUGUACUAAUCAUAGAUCCUGCUAGAAAAGAGGACAAUGGUGCUUGCAGCAUAGAAAUGAACUCCCUACAACAUGGUGGCCAGUCAUGAAGGAUUGGUUCCUUAGAAGAAAGUCUUAUUGACCUAUUUGGUAGGGGUCUAAUCUUAUGAUUUGGCAGUUCCAGGACCAUAAAGAACCACCUCAAUGUUCAAUUAAUUCACCUUAUUCCAUCUAACCUGUCAGAAAAUGGCAGAGUGGUAUUCACAGAUGUGGGCAGGUGGAAAUUUUGUGAUUUCUCCGCAUCAGGUAUCUACAUGAUGAACAUGGAGUGAGAUGAUAAGGUUUUUCUCUCUAGUUUGUAGGCCAAAAUUGUGGGUUGGCGUUCAAGUUGGAUGCACAUGCAUACCUGCAUAUGUAUUUGGAUAUUACAUAGCUGAGCACCUCCUUUUCUAGCUGAGACAUGGAUUAUACCAGAUUUGCAGUAUUGAAUAUGCAAAUAACGAAUUGGACUCAAAAGUCAGAGUUGGAUCUUUAUCUUGAAGAAAAACUAUUUCCUAGAGGUGAAAAGCUUGAUAUUUUGAGAUUCUGGCGAAUUGAUGGUCCUAAGUUUCCGAAACUCUCUAGAUUGGAACAUUAUAUUUUGGCAAUUCCAGCAUCCACUAUAGCAUCUGAGGGAACAUUCAGUACUGGGGGUAGAAUAGUGGAUCAAUAUCGUACUUCAUUACUUCUAGAAAUGGUGGAGGCUCUGGUUUGUGGGAAAGAUUGAAUUGGAUCUUGAAGCCAUUGCUACCUCUCCUAUAUGUGUGACUUCUACAACUGACACUAAUCGAACAUGAUAUUGGAGCAUAUGCCAUGCAUCUAGUUUGGACAUUUUUGCUUCACGGAAAUAAUUACGAGGAGGAAGAUAAGCUUGAGCCCUCGAGAACAGAAAAAGAAAAAGUUACACUUGUGCCCAAAACAUUGGCUCCCUCUCAACCCCUUGCGUAGCUAACCCAUCAGCAAAAGAGUUAGAUGAUCUUUUCACCCAGCUGAUCUUGACUUCCAUCUCUUGAACCAGCCACCUAAAUUUCCUCCUCUCAUUACUGUACAUCCAUAACCCGCUGUUGUCUUUAUUCAGCCACCCUACCACCACCGAGUCCCCUUCAAUUAUGAGAUUUCUUAUAUUCAUCUCCUUUGCUCUUUGGACUCCUUCCAUAAUUGCAUAGAUCUCGGCCUUGAGAGAGUUACCCACUCCAAUUGGGCCUGAGAACAGGGCUGAAACAAACCCAUUCUCAUCCCUAAACACACCCCCAAUCCCCGAGUGUCUAGGACUCCCUCUACUACUACCAUCAAAGUUUAGUUUUAAGAAACCAAUAAGUGGGGGGAGGGGGGUCCAAGACACACUCAUUACUGUUUUGGUCUGGGUACAAUUAGCAAUCUCACCCCACUUCCUCAACAUGUCAUCCACUCUGUAAUCUGUAAACAGCUCUGAGGAUUUCAGCCACUAUACAACCCUUAUAUGGAUCAGUUCUCUCAAUUCUUUAGCACCUCUCUCUACUUCAAAGAAGAUCCUGUAGUUUCUUUCCUCCCACAAAGCCUAGCAUACCGCAGCCCUUAGACAUCUCCACAUGGUCUUUCUCCUUUUCAUAUGCCACCUGAAGAAAGAAGGGGAAAAAAGACUUUGCAAGUUUGGUGGAGGAUUCCAUCUACACCCAAAGAGGGAGAAAGCCCACUCCCAAAUAGACUUUGCAAACUGGAAUGACACCAAAAGGGGAAAAAAGACUUUGCAGUCUCCCCAUCUGCUUUACAAAGAACACACCUGUGAGGGGAUAAACAUGUCUUGGGUCUCUUCUUUUGGAGCAUAUCACCAGUAUUGAUUCUUUCCAGAAAAGCUUCCUAGCAAAAACUACCAACCCUAGGAGGAAUUAGUCUGCACCAAACCUCAUUAACCGGGAAGGGAAGGGCUAUAGGACUGGAUGACUGACUUAAGACUUUGAAAAAGGAGGCACAAGAGAAUGAGCCAGUGGAGGUGGGGGUCCAGAUUCUAGAAUCCAACUUAACAGGGUCUAAGAAAACAUUAUCAAGGAGUCCAAGGAGACUCGAAAUACUAUCAAGGUCUGAGUCUCUCACAGCCCUCCUCAAGCCCAAAUUCCACCCAAACCCAGAAAUGGAAGAUAAGGGGGUAAUGAAAGAAGCAGCUGACCAUUCAAGUUUUCCAUUCUACAUCCCAGCCUCCCCACAAAUUCUGCUAUCAAAUCCUCUCUCUUAGAUCCCUCCACCACUGUCCUUUCUAACUCUUCCCCUUCAUUUCUCCCCUCCUUUCCUUCUCUCCUCUCAAUUGACCCCUCCCCUCUUAUCUCAUUCAUAUCCUUCCUCCAUAACAUAUUUUGUUCCACUUCACUAAAUAUUCUUUCAAUAAUUUCCCACACCUUCUCAUUCUUAUCCCUUCCUUCCAACUCCUCCCCAUGGUCCUUCAUCACCCUCUCCACAAGCUUAGAGCACCCACCACCUUUGUUGGCUUCGCAUGCUAGGGCUGCUGAACUUGGAAUGGGAUUGGAAUCUGGAACAUACGACACAGAAAACGCAUCAGUAGCAAAAACUAAAUUCACUUGAUUACCCGGGUUUGACUGGAGGGUUGGAAGUGGAUUCGGGUUAAUGUUCUCAACCUUCAUGUCUUGUUCAGAGAGUUGGUGACUUCUGUCUCCCUGAGUUGGUUGUGAAGCAUUUCUGUCCUUUGGACAACCUGGCAAUCUGUCAUCUCUCCUUGUGGUUUACCCCUUGUUGGUGUAUUUCUACUCUGCUUCAGGUUCUCCUGAUUUACCCCUUUAUUUGCGCCUUGCACAAUCUGAAGUCUUGGAAAUGGGUUAUUCCCGUAAGAGUUCAUCCCCACUUCAUGAACCCCAGGACUUCUUUCAUCGCCUAUCGAACCUUCCUGGUCAUCUAGAAUGCUUCUCCGUUGCUCCUCUAUGUCCCCCUGAAAUAGGCCUGCAAUGUUCAACAAACCCAUAUCGCCUUCAUCAUAGCCUCCAUCAUCAUUCACACUUCCAAUGCUAGUACCGGCGCCUGAGCUAUCAACCGAGUCUUCAUCAUUCUCACUGCAGUGAACCCAUCCUUCAUCCACCCCAACCUUUUCUUCACGUCUCUCUCUUACAAAUCUAGGGUUUGGUCUCUUUGUGGAGCGCCUCAAGGAGAUAGGUUCUGCUCGAUCUUGGCAGAUCACCCACCGUAAGUCACCCUGUCUGCCUGUUUUCCGCCACUACAACUUGUCCCCAAUGGACCUCACCAUUUUAGAGGAAGAUAGACUGUAGGAACUGUCUAGUGUCGGACCUACGUCCAAUUCCUUGCCCCAACCCACAUGAUCUUUUAAGUUAUCACGUGGGUCGCUAAACCUGUACCCCGGUUUAGCAGUCGAACCACCCUUAACCCCAGCCGGUUCAGACCAGGCCAUCCGGUGUUCACGGCUUGGUCCACUUAAUUUCUUUGCCAUAUCAGCAAAGGUUAAGUCACCCACUUUAAUUUUACUCGAUUCAAAAAAGUUUGAAUUAAUUUCCUUUAAAGGCGACUUGUCGUUUGGUUUACCCCAGCCGACUGAUUAAUUGCUAAUUUGGCUUUCCCCUGCAACUUAUCUUCUUUACCCAAUCUCCUUCCUCCACGUGUCCACCACCCUGCCAUCUCAUCUUUGUAUUCAGCCUUGGGAGUUCUUCCCCACCACGACUGUUCGACUUCUGACGCCACCCACACCCUGUACCAAGCACCAUCUAAACAAAUUUCGAAGAACCUAGGUAGGUACUCAUGCUUGAUUCCCACAACCUGAAGCUCAACUGCCCCCAAAUUUCUUUUAUUAGCUUCCAUCAACACCCCUCCUAAGCUUCUAACAAUCUGCUCGAGAACAGUCCCGCCAAAGAUUGAAGGGAAGACCUAACAGCUUCAGCUGGGUACAUCCAUCUAUAACCUCAACUUCGUUACAGGUGGGGCUCCAGUUAUGAAUCUGUAUAAGGCUUCUGAUGAGGGCAGAUUUGGCCCUCCAGUGAAAUUGUGACACGUGGCACCUCGUGACAACUAGGCAAGC